GACGAACGCUGGCGGCGUGCUUAACACAUGCAAGUCGAACGGAAAGGCCCCUUCGGGGGUACUCGAGUGGCGAACGGGUGAGUAACACGUGAGUAACCUGCCCUUGACUUCGGGAUAACUUCAGGAAACUGGGGCUAAUACCGGAUAGGAAUCCUUGCUGCAUGGUGGGGGUUGGAAAGCUUCGGCGGUUUUGGAUGGACUCGCGGCUUAUCAGCUUGUUGGUGGGGUAGUGGCUUACCAAGGCUUUGACGGGUAGCCGGCCUGAGAGGGCGACCGGCCACAUUGGGACUGAGAUACGGCCCAGACGCCUACGGGAGGCAGCAGUGGGGAAUAUUGCACAAUGGGCGGAAGCCUGAUGCAGCAACGCCGCGUGCGGGAUGACGGCCUUCGGGUUGUAAACCGCUUUCAGCAGGGGCGAAGCUUGUGGUGACGGUACCUGCAGAGGAAGCACCGGCUAACUACGUG
rnacentral:rRNA from 1 species